rnacentral:rRNA from 1 species
GCACAAGCAGCGGAGCGUGUGGUUUAAUUCGAUGUUACACGAAGAACCUUACCAGGGUUUGACAUGCAAGUGGUAGGAAGCCGAAAGGUGACCGACCUUCGGGGAGCUUGCACAGGUGCUGCAUGGCUGUCGUCAGCUCGUGUCGUGAGAUGUUCGGUUAAGUCCGCUAACGAGCGCAACCCUCGCUGUGUGUUACAAGUGUCACACGGUACUGCCGGUCUUAAGCCGGAGGAAGGUGGGGAUGACGUCAAGUCAGCAUGGCCUUUAUGUCCUGGGCUACACACACGCUACAAUGGCCAACACAAUAGGUUGCUAAGCCGCGAGGUGGAGCCAAUCCUCAAAGUUGGUCUCAGUUCAGAUUGCAGGCUGCAACCCGCCUGCAUGAAGAUGGAGUUGCUAGUAACCGCAGGUCAGCUAUACUGCGGUGAAUACGUUCCCGGGGCUU